ACUCUAAAUUGUUGGAAGCACGGAAUCACUUCUUCAAAAAUAUAAGCGUUAGAGUUGGGUGAUUGAUCCAGAGUUCUAUGAAUGAUCCAGUCCAAAAUGUAAAGAAUGAAACCGCUUUAUUUUCCAAAUCUUGAGUUGCUUCUUCAGCAGCAAGGCUCUUGUAAGAGUUAUUUCCCAAGCUGUAUGAACAAUGGAAGUGAGGACAUAAUGUAGCGCUUUACAGAGAGCAGCUUAUCAAUUUUGACAUUAAGUGUGUGAGGAAUUGCAAGAAAAUGUGAAGCAACUGAGAGGAAUAACUGGGUUCGACAGAACGAUCUGAGUAACAUGACAACAACAGAGGCCAAUGAACCCCACAGAAUGGAAAUCACCAGAUUUGCUUGACCUAUAUCUUUAAUAAAUAUUUUUUAAAAAAAUAAAACCUCAUUGCCUUUUUAUUAAAGCUAGCAGGGCAGAGAAAAAAUUAGAUUUGUCUUGUUUUAGGGGCAAUUGCAAACAGAAAGGACCAAAACUUUAUUUAUUGAC